rnacentral:sRNA from 1 species
UUUAAAAUUUUGGUUCAUUUUUAGUAAAAUAUUUAAAUUUUGUUGAUUUGGUCGAAUUAGGUGAAUUAGGUAUGAGGUUAAGUUACCGGUUAAAAAAAGUAUUAUGGAGUUAACUUCCAGUUAACAGACGCAAUUAUCCAACUGUCGUCCGUCACUAUCUUCAAGUGCAUCGAUGGAGAUAUCAAGAACAUCAUCACCUCUAGAAGAAUCAGACGCAAUUAUUGAAAGUUAAUGGCGUUUUGGCUGCAAUGAUAUCUACCAAGAUCUCUCCCAAAACUUUUUUAAUCUCCUUGUUUUAAUUUUUUUUUUCCGAGGAAUCAUAUGUAAGGGUUUAACAUUGUUAUAAAACCUAACU